GACGAACGCUGGCGGCGUGCUUAACACAUGCAAGUCGAACGAGAAUUCUUUUCAAAGAAGCUUCGGUGAAAAUGAGAAGAAGGAAAGUGGCGAACGGGUGAGUAACGCGUGAGCAACCUACCUUAUACAAAGGGAUAGCCUCGGGAAACCGGGAUUAAUACCAUAUGAGACUCCAUUAACGAGUGUUAAAGAAGUUAAAGAUUUAUCGGUAUAAGAUGGGCUCGCGUCUGAUUAGCUAGUUGGUAGGGUAAAGGCCUACCAAGGCGACGAUCAGUAACCGGCUUGAGAGAGUGAACGGUCACAUUGGAACUGAGACACGGUCCAAACUCCUACGGGAGGCAGCAGUGGGGAAUAUUGCACAAUGGGGGAAACCCUGAUGCAGCGACGCCGCGUGAGCGAUGAAGGUUUUCGAAUCGUAAAGCUCUGUCCUUGGAGAAGAUAAUGACGGUAUCCAAGGAGGAAGCACCGGCUAAAUACGUGCCAGCCGCCGCCGUAAAAC
rnacentral:rRNA from 1 species